UACGUAGGGGGCUAGCGUUGUCCGGAAUCAUUGGGCGUAAAGAGCGUGUAGGCGGUCCGGUAAGUCCGCUGUGAAAGUCGGGGGCUCAACCCUCGAAUGCCGGUGGAUACUGUCGGGCUAGAGUGCGGAAGAGGCGAGUGGAAUUCCUGGUGUAGCGGUGAAAUGCGCAGAUAUCAGGGGGAACACCUAUUGCGAAGGCAGCUCGCUGGGACGUAACUGACGCUGAGACGCGAAAGCGUGGGGAGCAAACAGG
rnacentral:rRNA from 1 species